UUAUGACUUAAGAGGCAACUCUUAACUGGCCAGGUAAGGAAAAGCCGAGAGGUUCAAGCUUACAGGGCAGAAAACUCUGGAAAGUAGCGCUUAACAUACCAGGGUGGCGGGUUCGGCGGUAGCGCAUACAACGACGAACCAA
rnacentral:sRNA from 10 species